rnacentral:misc_RNA from 1 species
AAGUCGUAACAAGGUUUCCGUAGGUGAACCUGCGGAAGGAUCAUUAACACGUAUCCAAACGUUAAAACCCCCCCCGUGAACAUUGAUUCCUGCUCUUGUAACCCGCGAAGCUUGCAAUCUCUGGUAAAUCAUAGCCCGGAAAGUAGUUUUGAUUCAGAGACCUCUGGCCCGUGCGAAAUCACAACAGUUACAAUUCGAGCGGUAGUUCUAUAGGCCUUGUUUCCCCAAGCAGUCAGUGUCUGAAAGUGUCAGUGAUUGUGCAAGGAUAACGCUUCACGAUUCUUGUAGACCGCAUCUCGCGGGCAGGAGCUAGGCCAAAGGGUCCCCAGUUAAAUGUGAAGCUCAAUGUAAUACAUUGGGUAAAAAACCGAACAACUGUUAACAAUGGAUAUCUUGGUUCUC